rnacentral:rRNA from 1 species
CCUACGGGUGGCAGCAGUCGAGAAUUAUUCACAAUGGGGGAAACCCUGAUGGUGCGACGCCGCGUGGGGGAAUGAAGGUCUUCGAAUUGUAAACCCCUGUCAUGUGGGAGCAAAUUAAAAAGAUAGUACCACAAGAGGAAGAGACGGCAAACUCUGUGCCAGCAGCCGCGGUAAUGCAGAGGUCUCAAGCGUUGUUCGGAAUCACUGGGCGGAAAGGGGGCGUAGGCUGUUUCGUAAGUCGUGUGUGAAAGGCUCGGGCUCAACCCGCGGACUGCACAUGAUACUGCGAGACUCGAGUAAUGGAGGGGGAACCGGAAUUCUCGGUGUAGCAGUGAAAUGCGUAGAUAUCGAGAGGAACACUCGUGGCGAAGGCGGGUUCCUGGACAUUAACUGACGCUGAGGCACGAAGGCCAGGGGAGCGAAAGGGAUUAGAUAACCUUGUAGUC